ACGGGUGAGUAACGCGUGGGAACCUACCUUUCGGUGCGGAAUAACUCCGGGAAACCGGAGCUAAUACCGCAUACGCCCUUCGGGGGAAAGAUUUAUCGCCGAUAGAUGGGCCCGCGUCGGAUUAGCUUGUUGGUGAGGUAACGGCUCACCAAGGCGACGAUCCGUAGCUGGUCUGAGAGGAUGAUCAGCCACACUGGGACUGAGACACGGCCCAGACUCCUACGGGAGGCAGCAGUGGGGAAUAUUGGACAAUGGGCGCAAGCCUGAUCCAGCCAUGCCGCGUGAGUGAAGAAGGCCUUAGGGUUGUAAAGCUCUUUUAGUGGGGACGAUAAUGACGGUACCCACAGAAUAAGCCCCGGCUAACUUCGUGCCAGCAGCCGCGGUAAUACGAAGGGGGCUAGCGUUGUUCGGAAUCACUGGGCGUAAAGCGCAUGCAGGCGGACUGAUCAGUCGGGGGUGAAAGCCCGGGGCUCAACCUCGGAACUGCCUUCGAUACUGUCAGUCUUGAGUCCGGGAGAGGUGAGUGGAAUUCCUAGU
rnacentral:rRNA from 1 species